rnacentral:rRNA from 1 species
UACGAAGGAGGCUAGCGUUGUUCGGAUUUACUGGGCGUAAAGCGCACGUAGGCGGAUGUGUCAGUCAGGGGUGAAAUCCCGGAGCUCAACUUCGGAACUGCCUUUGAUACAGCACGUCUUGAGUCCGGAAGAGGUGGGUGGAAUUCCUAGUGUAGAGGUGAAAUUCGUAGAUAUUAGGAAGAACACCGGUGGCGAAGGCGGCCCACUGGUCCGGUACUGACGCUGAGGUGCGAAAGCGUGGGGAGCAAACAGG